rnacentral:rRNA from 1 species
CCCGUAGUCCUAGCCGUAAACGAUACUCGCUAGGUGUCGGCCACGGUGCGACCGUUGUCGGUGCCGUAGGGAAGCCGUGAAGCGAGCCACCUGGGAAGUACGGCCGCAAGGCUGAAGCUUAAAGGAAUUGGCGGGGGAGCACCACAACGGGUGGAGCUUGCGGUUUAAUUGGAUUCAACGCCGGAAAUCUUACCGGGACCGACAGCAAUAUGAAGGCCAGGCUGAAGACUUUGCCGGAUUAGCUGAGAGGAGGUGCAUGGC